AUACUUACCUAGCAGCUACCAUGAUCACGAAGGUGGUUUUCCCAGGGUGAGGCUUGUCCCUUGCAUUCUGGGUGUGCUGACCCCUGCCCAUCCCCCAAGUGUGGGAAACUUGACUGCUUACUUUGUUGGUAGUGGGGGACAGUGUUUGUGCUCUCCCUGG